rnacentral:lncRNA from 1 species
CCUUUAUAUGUUUUACAUGAUUCCUUUACGUACAAGUCCUAUUUGCUUUUGUAUGACGCCUAGCAUUUUUACCUUUGAACCUAGGGGUCCAUCCUAGUUCCUACCUUAUAGGAAUAGUGAUCGUAAGUUCCCUCUAGGAUCUAUAGAACGGGACAGGUAAUAGCACGCAAUAAGUACUCGUAACCAAUCCACGCGCUUAAAUAACCUCUACGGGGUGUGAAUGAUAGAAUAUGGAGAUGAUGAAAAUGUGAUAAUAUCAUAAAGCGAUCCCUCUUUGGGAAUGUGAGCUGGAUAUUGCAUCGAAUGAUCCAUAUUAUAGUCAAACAUAGGACCCCUCUUUCUCUUACGUGCUUUAUUUAAAUGAUUUCCUCAUGCUUUCCAAACUAAUCCUCUUUUAUUUCAAACUUAUGUCAUUUUCUUUAUAGCUUUCAAAUUAUAUGAAUGUUGUACGUGUGCAUUUUAUUUGCUUCAUCUUCUUCUAAAGUCACAAUUAGCACGGCCGGGAACCACAUUUGUCGAUCUUGAGGGGUGCCUAACACCUUCCCCUCGAGAUAAUCUCAAGCCCUUACCCAACUCUG